UGGGCCAUUCCAGUUAAUAUCUGCUAAAGGGGGAUGGAUGGUCUUUUUUGAGGGGUGUAAAAUUUUUACAUCUUAGGGGUGAAAUUUUGGGUUUUUUCAUCUGACAGGUACACUUAUACGAAAAAACAUUCUGAGGGUCUUGGCAGCAGUAAAUAAUCAAAAAUGAUUACAUCUUACAUAUGUAGGGGUAACAAAAAUGCCUAUGUCAGAUCUGAUAGGUGCUUUGAAAUGUAGACAAUUUCGUAUCUUGCAUCAUCUGGUAUUGUUUUUAAAAUUCUGAUGGGUAUAAUCC
rnacentral:lncRNA from 1 species